UACGUAGGUGGCAAGCGUUGUCCGGAUUUACUGGGCGUAAAGAGCGCGCAGGCUGUCGUGCAAGUCGCGUGUGAAAGCCCCCGGCUCAACUGGGGAGGGUCACGCGAUACUGUUCGACUCGAAGGCAGGAGAGGGAAGCGGAAUUCCCGGUGUAGUGGUGAAAUGCGUAGAUAUCGGGAGGAACACCAGUGGCGAAGGCGGCUUCCUGGCCUGUUCUUGACGCUGAGGCGCGAAAGCUAGGGUAGCAAACGGG
rnacentral:rRNA from 1 species